rnacentral:lncRNA from 1 species
CCAUUUAACUCAAUGUUUAUUGAUUAUACCAUUCAAUAACACAUUUAUGAAAUUCUCAAUUUAGCAAUGAAAAUAUCACUUUAGUUUGAAUAACAACAUCGUCCUGAUAUAAAUACACUACCACUUAUCCAUUUACUUUAAUUCUUUUGGGCCCAUUUGUCACUUACCAUCCUUAAUCAAAUUAGGGAACGGUCACGGAAAAUUGAGUACUUCACUUUCACUUUGCCAUAGUAUAACUAUGGUCUUACGUAUGAUCACUUAUCACUUGUCCCUGAUCAGAUAAGUGUAGCCACCUAUCACUUUGUUUCUUGAUCAGAUAAGUGUAGCCACUUAUCACUUUGUCUCUUGAUCAGAUAAGUGUAGCCACUUAUCACUUUGUCUCUAGAUCAGAUAAGUGUAGCUAAAGCUAUCACUUAUCACUUUUCACUUGUCACUUGAUCAGAUAAGUGUAGCCGAAGCUAUCACUUAUCACUUUUCACUUGUCACUUGAUCAGAUAAGUGUAGCCGAAGCUAUCACUUAUCACUUUGUCACUUGAUCAGAUAAGUAUAGCCGAAGCUAUUACUUAUCACUUUCCACUUGUCACUUGAUCAGAUAAGUGUAGCUAAAGCUACCACUUAUCACUUUGUCACUUGAUCAGAAGUACUCAAAUCCGGCGUUCCGCUCAAUUUGAUCAUUUAUUCAUAUAUCAGGCUUACCAACAUGUGUUAAUUCAUAAACCAUUCAUGGUAUUAUUUCAUGCCAAAUCAUAUACUGAAUAUACCAUACACACAUACUAUGAAACUUUAUUUUCACACAUGAGCUUAAACCAUGACCAAUAAUGCACAAAAAUAAGCAUCAUUCAUAUUUCAUCGUUUAUGAGUUAUAAUCAAACAUAUGACCAUUUAUACACGAAUCAUUCAUAUAUUUCCCAAUUUUCCUCCUCCUCCUCUCCAUUCCACAUCCUUAAUGUGUAUAACACACUUAAACAACAUUAACCAUAAUUUCAAUAUUCACUAACAUGUAUAUUCAAAGCUGUUUAUCCGAGUCAGAGUCACUAAAUUAUUUUUAUCUGGAGCUACAGAGCUCCAAAUUAAGAUCCGUUAAUUUUCCCUGAAACUAGACUCACAUAUCUUCAUACCAUAAAAUUUUCAUAAUUUUUGGUUCAGCCAAAUAGUACAGUUUAUUCUUUAAAUUUUCCCCUGUUUCGCUGUCUGACUGUUCCGACCACUCUUCACUAAAAAUUAAUUAUCUCAUUGUACGGAAUUCGGAUGAUGUUUUAGCUUGUUUCUUAUAAAAAUAGACUCAUUAAGGAUUCUAACCAUAUAAACUAUAACUCAUAAUCAUUUUUGUACAAUUUUUAAUGAUUUUCCAAAGUCAGAACAGGGGAACCCGAAUUCAUUCUGACCUUGUCUCACAAAAUCUAUUAUAUCUCAUGAUUUACAAUUCCAUUGCUCACAUCAUUUCUUUUAUAAGAAACUAGACUCAAUAAGCUUUAGUUUCAUAUUUUAUUCAUCCUCUAAUUCAAUCUCUAAAAUUUUUGGUGAUUUUUCAAAGUUACACUACUGCUGCUGUCCAAAACUGCUUUAGUGCAAAAUGUUGAUUUCCAUUUUGCCCCAAAUUUCACAGUUUAUACAAUUCGGUCCUUUCUCAAUUAACCCCUCAAUUAAUCUAAUUUUCUCAAUUAGUACUUUACUAGACAUUAUAAGUUGUUACACAACUAUUGAAAUUCAGAAUUUCCACAUAUAACUCUAUCUUCAAACUCUUUUACUAUUAGGUCCCAAACAUUCACUUUCUAUUCAAUUCUUUCAAUAAAAUCAGCAUAUGAACAAUUUAAAGCUCUAAUUUCAUGCUAAAUCAUCAUAUACUUCCAGCACAUAUUCAUAUCAACUUUCAACUUCUUUCAUAAAAUCAAAAACUAAUGGAUUUAACAAGUGGGCCUAGUUGUAAAAGUCAUAAAAAUACAAAAAUUUCAAGAAAUAGUCAAGAAUUGAACUUACUUGUAAUAAAAAUAUGAAGAACCAGCUUGAAGAAGCCCUUCCAUGGUGUUUUAGCUGAUGAGAAUUCAGAAAAAUGAAGAGAAAUCUGGAUAAUUCCACUUGGGUCCUAACUUUAUUAAGCAAAAUUUGCAAUUUUCCAAUUUUGCCCUUAAUUCUCCUUACUUUCUUGCUGAUUUCAUGCCUCUGCCGUCCAGCCCAAAUAGACCUUGGGUCUAUUUUCCUUUUAAGCCCUCUUCCUUUUAUCAUUUAAGCUAUUUAAUCAUUUCCCAAAAUUUUGCAUUUGUUACAAUUUAGUCCUUUUUGUUCAAUUAAUUAUCGGAACUUUAAAAUUUCUUAACGAAACUUUAAUACUAACUUUUUAACACUCCAUAAAUAUUUAUAAAAAUAUUUAUGGCUCAGUUUAAAAUCCCCGAGGUCUUGAUACCUCAUUUCGAUUCUAAUUAUUU